rnacentral:rRNA from 1 species
UAGGGAAUAUUCGGCAAUGGACGAAAGUCUGACCGAGCAACGCCGCGUGAGUGAAGAAGGUUUUCGGAUCGUAAAACUCUGUUGUUAGAGAAGAACAAGGACGUUAGUAACUGAACGUCCCCUGACGGUAUCUAACCAGAAAGCCACGGCUAACUACGUGCCAGCAGCCGCGGUAAUACGUAGGUGGCAAGCGUUGUCCGGAUUUAUUGGGCGUAAAGCGAGCGCAGGCGGUUUCUUAAGUCUGAUGUGAAAGCCCCCGGCUCAACCGGGGAGGGUCAUUGGAAACUGGGAGACUUGAGUGCAGAAGAGGAGAGUGGAAUUCCAUGUGUAGCGGUGAAAUGCGUAGAUAUAUGGAGGAACACCAGUGGCGAAGGCGGCUCUCUGGGCUGUAACUGACGCUGAGGCUCGAAAGCGUGGGGAGCAAACAGG